AUUGAACGCUAGCGGGAUGCUUUACACAUGCAAGUCGAACGAGUGGCGGACGGGUGAGUAAUAUAUCGGAACGUGCCCAGUAGCGGGGGAUAACUUCUCGAAAGAGUGGCUAAUACCGCAUACUAUUAGAGCGGCCGAUCUCGGAUUAGCUAGUUGGUGGGGUAAAGGCUCACCAAGGCAACGAGCCGUAGCUGGUUUGAGAGGAAGACCAGCCACACUGGGACUGAGACACGGCCCAGACUCCUACGGGAGGCAGCAGUGGGGAAUUUUGGGCAAUGGGGGAAAACGUUAUUCAGCCAUCCCGCGUGUAUGUGAUGGCCGUCGGGUUGUAAAAUACUUUUGGCAGAGAAGCGGUCUGUGCAGAAUAAGCACCGGCUAACUACGUGCCAGCCGCCGCGGUAAUAC
rnacentral:rRNA from 1 species